rnacentral:rRNA from 1 species
GCCAUAUCAAUAAGCGGAGGAAAAGAAACCAACUGGGAUUACCUUAGUAACGGCGAGUGAAGCGGUAAAAGCUCAAAUUUGAAAUCUGGUACUUUCAGUGCCCGAGUUGUAAUUUGUAGAAUUUGUCUUUGAUUAGGUCCUUGUCUAUGUUCCUUGGAACAGGACGUCAUAGAGGGUGAGAAUCCCGUUUGGCGAGGAUACCUUUUCUCUGUAAGACUUUUUCGAAGAGUCGAGUUGUUUGGGAAU